AACUGGUGAGUAACACGUGGGAAACCUGCCCAGAAGCGGGGGAUAACACCUGGAAACAGAUGCUAAUACCGCAUAACAACUUGGACCGCAUGGUCCGAGUUUGAAAGAUGGCUUCGGCUAUCACUUUUGGAUGGUCCCGCGGCGUAUUAGCUAGAUGGUGGGGUAACGGCUCACCAUGGCAAUGAUACGUAGCCGACCUGAGAGGGUAAUCGGCCACAUUGGGACUGAGACACGGCCCAAACUCCUACGGGAGGCAGCAGUAGGGAAUCUUCCACAAUGGACGAAAGUCUGAUGGAGCAACGCCGCGUGAGUGAAGAAGGGUUUCGGCUCGUAAAACUCUGUUGUUAAAGAAGAACAUAUCUGAGAGUAACUGUUCAGGUAUUGACGGUAUUUAACCAGAAAGCCACGGCUAACUACGUGCCAGCAGCCGCGGUAAUACGUAGGUGGCAAGCGUUGUCCGGAUUUAUUGGGCGUAAAGCGAGCGCAGGCGGUUUUUUAAGUCUGAUGUGAAAGCCUUCGGCUCAACCGAAGAAGUGCAUCGGAAACUGGGAAACUUGAGUGCAGAAGAGGACAGUGGAACUCCAUGUGUAGCGGUGAAAUGCGUAGAUAUAUGGAAGAACACCAGUGGCGAAGGCGGCUGUCUGGUCUGUAACUGACGCUGAGGCUCGAAAGUAUGGGUAGCAAACAGGAUUAGAUACCCUGGUAGUCCAUACCGUAAACGAUGAAUGCUAAGUGUUGGAGGGUUUCCGCCCUUCAGUGCUGCAGCUAACGCAUUAAGCAUUCCGCCUGGGGAGUACGGCCGCAAGGCUGAAACUCAAAGGAAUUGACGGGGGCCCGCACAAGCGGUGGAGCAUGUGGUUUAAUUCGAAGCUACGCGAAGAACCUUACCAGGUCUUGACAUACUAUGCAAAUCUAAGAGAUUAGACGUUCCCUUCGGGGACAUGGAUACAGGUGGUGCAUGGUUGUCGUCAGCUCGUGUCGUGAGAUGUUGGGUUAAGUCCCGCAACGAGCGCAACCCUUAUUAUCAGUUGCCAGCAUUAAGUUGGGCACUCUGGUGAGACUGCCGGUGACAAACCGGAGGAAGGUGGGGAUGACGUCAAAUCAUCAUGCCCCUUAUGACCUGGGCUACACACGUGCUACAAUGGAUGGUACAACGAGUUGCGAACUCGCGAGAGUAAGCUAAUCUCUUAAAGCCAUUCUCAGUUCGGAUUGUAGGCUGCAACUCGCCUACAUGAAGUCGGAAUCGCUAGUAAUCGCGGAUCAGCAUGCCGCGGUGAAUACGUUCCC
rnacentral:rRNA from 2 species